rfam:Phytophthora nicotianae strain race 0 contig643, whole genome shotgun sequence.
GCCCGNCUAGCUCAAUGGUCGAGCGCUGGCUNCGAAAGCCACAGGUCGGUGGUUCAAUUCCACCCGGGCA